GCUGGCGUACGAAACCUGGAUAUGCUA
rnacentral:tRNA from 1 species